GAAUACGUGGGUGACCUACCCUCGAGUGGGGAAUAACCCGCCGAAAGGCGGGCUAAUGCCGCGUACGCUUCCGUCCUCGCGGGGACGGAAGGAAAGUCAUGCCGUGGGCAUGGCGCUCAAGGAUGGGCUCACGUCCUAUCAGCUUGUUGGUAGGGUAACGGCCUACCAAGGCUCCGACGGGUAGCUGGUCUGAGAGGACGAUCAGCCACACUGGCACUGCGACACGGGCCAGACUCCUACGGGAGGCAGCAGUGAGGAAUAUUGCGCAAUGGGCGAAAGCCUGACGCAGCGACGCCGCGUGGGGGAUGAAGGUCUUCGGAUUGUAAACCCCUUUCGGGAGGGAAGAUGGGACGGGCAACCGUCCGGACGGUACCUCCAGAAGCAGCCACGGCUAACUUCGUGCCAGCAGCCGCGGUAAUACGAAGGUGGCAAGCGUUGUUCGGAUUUACUGGGCGUACAGGGAGCGUAGGCGGUUUGGUAAGCCCUUCGUGAAAUCUCCAGGCUUAACCUGGAAAGGUCGGAGGGGACUGCCUGGCUAGAGGACGGGAGAGGAGCGCGGAAUUCCCGGUGUAGCGGUGAAAUGCGUAGAGAUCGGGAGGAAGGCCGGUGGCGAAGGCGGCGCUCUGGAACGUUCCUGACGCUGAGGCUCGAAAGCGUGGGGAGCAAACAGGAUUAGAUACCCUGGUAGUCCACGCCCUAAACGAUGGACACUAAGUGUCGGCGGGUUACCGCCGGUGCCGCAGCUAACGCAGUAAGUGUCCCGCCUGGGGAGUACGGCCGCAAGGUUG
rnacentral:rRNA from 1 species